ensembl:lncRNA
GGCCGAGAAGCUCGGGAAGGCAGGGCGGAGCGGAGGGUCCCACGCACCCUAAAAUUGGCGUGUGGAAUCACAGAAUCACGACGGUUGGAAAAGUGCUUUCAUAUCGUCUCGUCCAACCUCUGGCCCUCCACCACCACGCCCACUGAGCGCGUCCCUCAGUGCCGCGUGAACGCGGUUCUUAAACGCCUCCAGGGACGGUGACUGCGCCGCCUCCCUGGGCAGCUGUGCCACCGCCUCACCGCUCUGAGAAGGGUUUUUUUUCCUAAUAUCCAACCUAAAAAGGAAUGGAGUGUUAAUUCUUCGUGGCAGAUGCUGGGAUUGAAGGGCCGUGAAGAUGGUGAAGGGCCUGGAGCACCUCUCCUGUGAGAAGCUAAAAACGCUGUGCCUGCUCAGCCCGGGUUACUCGGACUCGGGGAUCUCUGAAGGGAGACCGCACAGAGGACGGAGCCAGGCUCUGUUCAGCGGUGCUCAGCGCCAGGGCCAGAGGCCAUAGGCAUAAAGCGCAGCACAGGAGCUCCCUCUGAGCACUAGGUAGCUCUCUGUGCCGUGCGGGUGACGGAGCGCUGCCACAGGCUGCCCAGAGGCUGGAGAGUCUCCUUGGAGACCUCCAAAAGCACCUGGAGGUGGGCCUGGGCACCGUGCUCUGGGUGUCCCUGCUGGAGCAGGGCCUGUGCCGGAUGGACCUGGAGGCCCUGCCUGCUUCAGACCCGCUGUGAUUCUGUGAAAUCUGCUGGCACCAGAAGGCAGUUUGAUGGUUUCUGUGGGCACGGCAGGAUAAGAAGGAACAAUUUGGGAUGCUGCUGCAGCAUGGAUAAAGGAGGAAAAGGAUUCACUAAUUCUUCAGAUAAAGAACAAACCACAUGCUUCCCUCACAUUUCUUCUGAGGAGAACAAAGCCAGCAUCUCCUCAGCUUUCCACAGAAACUCCACAACUGGUUGCAAGUGACCAAUUUAGGAUGAGUUGGUGAAGUCACGGUGGAAACUGUGUUGUCAUCAGUGAAGAAAUAUUUAAGCUGGAAAGGAAGGGACCUGUGAGAGUUUUUCAGACCGAAAACAUGAAAAGCCUCAUUCACCAACUUAAUUGUAUCUAUUCACCAAAACACACCAUGACAGCAAAAGUCCUCUCUUCAGUCUUGCAAAGGAAGAAGCAUCUGCUGCUCACAGGAAGAGAUGAUCCACAACUGCCUGAACACUGCCAGCAAAGAGUUGCCCUGAGGAGAUGAGAGGUGGCUGCCCCUGCCCUGCAGGGAGACCUGAACGAGAGCCACCUGAGGAGCAGACCAGGUGCUCAGCCUAUGUGGGGCGGAGCUGUUCCGCAAGGUAGGAGGCUGCUGGCAGCACCAAAGGAAGAAGGCACAGAGACAGCAGCACCCAUGGGGCCCCCGCCACUCAAGCGCCCUAAGAAAGCUCCACCCAAACCAGUGCUGCUCCAGCCCUGCCAGUCCCUGCUGCAGCAGCACAGAGGGAAACGUGCCAGCCUCUGGCCCCCUUCAAGCUGCCACUGAGCAGACAGAUAAUUCUGGCAAUAUGUUUGAGUAAUACACCUUCUCCACUCUCAGGUCCUUUCAGUUAUUUAUCUAUUUAUCUCUGUAAUGGUUCUGGAAAUAAA